rnacentral:rRNA from 1 species
UACGAAGGGGGCUAGCGUUGUUCGGAUUUACUGGGCGUAAAGCGCACGUAGGCGGAUCGUUAAGUCGGGGGUGAAAUCCUGGAGCUCAACUCCAGAACUGCCUUCGAUACUGGCGAUCUUGAGUCCGGAAGAGGUGAGUGGAACUCCUAGUGUAGAGGUGGAAUUCGUAGAUAUCGAGAGGAACACCGGUGGCGAAGGCGGCCUUCUGGACAGUGACUGACGCUGAGACGCGAAAGCGUGGGGAGCGAACAGG